CGGCGUGCCUAAUACAUGCAAGUCGAACGGUCUUUCUAUGGAAGCUGCUUCCACUGAGAAGAUAGUGGCGAACGGGUGAGUAACACGUGGGUAACCUGCCCAUAAGAGGGGGAUAACAUCCGGAAACGGGUGCUAAUACCGCAUAGUUUUCUUGAUCGCAUGAUCGGGAAAGGAAAGACGGCCUUUGUGCUGUCGCUUAUGGAUGGACCCGCGGCGUAUUAGUUAGUUGGUGAGGUAACGGCUCACCAAGACGAUGAUACGUAGCCGACCUGAGAGGGUGAUCGGCCACAUUGGGACUGAGACACGGCCCAAACUCCUACGGGAGGCAGCAGUAGGGAAUCUUCCGCAAUGGACGAAAGUCUGACGGAGCAACGCCGCGUGAGUGAAGAAAAGGUUUUCGGAUCGUAAAACUCUGUUGUCAGAGAAGAACAAGUUGGAGAGUAACUGCUCCAGCCUUGACGGUAUCUGACCAGAAAGCCACGGCUAACUACGUGCCAGCCGCAGC
rnacentral:rRNA from 1 species